AAUAUAAUAUCAAGCGCUUAAUAUCGUACUAGAAGUUUAAGCUAUUAAGUAUAUGCACAACUUCAACUUCUAUAAUGUAACUGUUCAAAUGGCUCUUGGUAGAAUGUUAGGCCAUUGAGUUAUAUCUAUUCAAUGCCAAUAAUCUCCCAAGUCUGUCAGGAAUUCGAAUUCAUGACCUUAGCUUUAAUACUAUAAAUAUGUAAAAUUUGAUCAUUAAUGUUAUUAGACUGAAAUUCAAAAGUGAAUAUCACUAAUACAAACACAUGAGGCCCAGUCAUGAAAGUUGAAGCUGGGGAUGGCAAUGGCAUUUUUCACAACUCAAUCCAAAUGACGACCACCAAGACAACACAUUCAUUCUUGAGGCCCAUAAGAUAAAAGGGUGCCUUUUCUUUUGGGCCAAAUGCCUUGCACAUGAAGCACAAACCCAGUAGAAAAACACUCACCCAUUG
rnacentral:misc_RNA from 1 species